UAAGGCUCGGACGUGGAGCUGGCUCUAUUAAUCGAUAAGCAGCGGUUGCUUACCCACGGACACCUAAGCCUUCUAGGCAAGUGCAUAAAGAGAGAGGGGAGGUAGCUUCCAGAAAGAUAGAGUUAUCACACAAAGGCGAAAUGACUAAGAUCUUGCUUAACCAGAAGAUAGAAUCCUAUUGUUGAACUGGGGAGGCAGAAGGAAAGACAUUCAGGGCUGAAAGAAUGGAACUCGCUCUAAGGGACCCCAACUGGAUAGGAAUCUUCUGCCUAUGGGGAGUCAACUGGCGCCUUCUUAAAGCAGCUGAAAAUGCAAUGCAGGUAGAUGGAACUGAUAUUACUCAGUCUGUCGAAAAUAAAGAGAAUUCCAG
rnacentral:lncRNA from 1 species